rnacentral:rRNA from 1 species
GACGAACGCUGGCGGCGUGCUUAACACAUGCAAGUCGAACGGAAAGGCCCUGCUUUUGUGGGGUGCUCGAGUGGCGAACGGGUGAGUAACACGUGAGUAACCUGCCCUUGACUUUGGGAUAACUUCAGGAAACUGGGGCUAAUACCGGAUAGGAGCUCCUGCUGCAUGGUGGGGGUUGGAAAGUUUCGGCGGUUGGGGAUGGACUCGCGGCUUAUCAGCUUGUUGGUGGGGUAGUGGCUUACCAAGGCUUUGACGGGUAGCCGGCCUGAGAGGGUGACCGGCCACAUUGGGACUGAGAUACAGCCCAGACCCCUACGGGAGGCAGCAGUGGGGAAUAUUGCACAAUGGGCGGAAGCCUGAUGCAGCAACGCCGCGUGCGGGAUGACGGCCUUCGGGUUGUAAACCGCUUUCGCCUGUGACGAAGCGUGAGUGACGGUAAUGGGUAAAGAAGCACCGGCUAACUACGUG